rnacentral:rRNA from 1 species
AUUGAACGCUGGCGGCAGGCCUAACACAUGCAAGUCGAGCGAGCGGCGGAUGGGUGAGUAAUGUCUGGGAAACUGGCUGAUGGAGGGGGAUAACUACUGGAAACGGUAGCUAAUACCGCAUACCAUCAGAUGUGCCCAGAUGGGAUUAGCUAGUAGGGGGGGUAACGGCUCACCCAGGCGACGAUCCCUAGCUGGGCUGAGAGGAUGACCAGCAACACUGGAACUGAGACACGGUCCAGACUCCUACGGGAGGCAGCAGUGGGGAAUAUUGGACAAUGGGCGAAAGCCUGAUGCAGCCAUGCCGCGUGUGUGAAGAAGGCCUUCGGGUUGUAAAGCACUUUCAGCGGGGAGGCGUUACCCGCAGAAGAAGCACCGGCUAACUCCGUGCCAGCAGCCGCGGUAAUAC